GACCAGGUGGGGGAGGCCGUGCUGGGGGAGGGGGCUUGCAGCCGGCAGCAGUCCACCUAACUGCUGCCGCGGACGCUAGUGACGCGCCCUGGGCCCAGCCUGCUCCCCUGAUUUCUAGGCUGGGGGUCAUCUAAGACCAGGGGACCCACAAAACAACCGGCGUCUGCGAGCCUCCCUGGGGCUCCCGAAAGAAAUCCUGUUUGGCCUCCUCUGUCUAUGCAGCUCCCCUCUCAACUGAAACCACUGGUCCAAGACAGCCACAAUCCAGAUAUACUAGCAAGUCAUAAAACUGAACAAAAGCCGACAAACCUUACGGCACCAGGGCUAUAGGGCCCAGACAAAUUACGACCGUCUAGGUUUGACCCUUUUAUGCAUGUAACUUCACAGUAUAAAGGAAACCCAAACAAUGUCUCCCUUCUCUAGUCUAUUCCGCUUGCCCCAGCCCUCCUCGGAUUCUGUGAAUUUCGGAAAGGAAAAAAUAAAAGAGGAAGAAGAAAAAAAGAAAAUGAGAAAGAAAAAUCUCCACAAGAUAGGGAGAAUUGUGGUGUGCUUGUCGCGUUACCAAUGGUAACAAUUAUUUAAUAAAAAAAACCCCCACUAAAUCCGCACGCAUAAACAAAUCUACAUUAGAUUAUUUAUCUACAGCCAGAAGGGUAUGGAAAUUCAGAGCUGGGAUAUCUUACAGAGGAAGGAAAGAUUAAUCUUUCUGACUCUCAAUUUUCUAAUCAGCCAAAGCCAAGCCCUUUUGCCAGCCUGCAUGUCCAUGCCUGUAAGCCCUUCUCUUUGCCAAGAAAGAAAGAAAGAAAGAAAGAAAGAAAGAAAGAAAGAAGAAAG